UACGGAGGGAGCUAGCGUUGUCCGGAAUUAUUGGGCGUAAAGAGCUCGUAGGCGGUUUGUCGCGUCUGCUGUGAAAUCUGGGGGCUCAACCCCCAGCCUGCAGUGGGUACGGGCAGACUAGAGUGCGGUAGGGGAGAUUGGAAUUCCUGGUGUAGCGGUGGAAUGCGCAGAUAUCAGGAGGAACACCGAUGGCGAAGGCAGAUCUCUGGGCCGUAACUGACGCUGAGGAGCGAAAGCAUGGGGAGCGAACAGG
rnacentral:rRNA from 1 species